ACCAGCAUGGUGUAGUGGUUUGAUCAUCAGACUAUGACUCUGGAGACCAGGGUUCGAUUCCCAGCUCAGCCA